rnacentral:tRNA from 2 species
GGAGAGGUGUCCGAGUCCGGCUUAAGGAGCACGCCUGGAAAGCGUGUACAGGGGGAACUCUGUCGGAGGUUCAAAUCCUCUCCUCUCCGCCA